rnacentral:tRNA from 1 species
GCCUGGGUGGCUCAGUCGGUUAAGCGUCCGACUUCGGCUCAGGUCACGAUCUCACUGUUCGUGAGUUCGAGCCCCGCCUUGGGCU